UACGGGGGGUGCGAGCGUUGUCCGGAAUCACUGGGCGUAAAGGGCGCGUAGGUGGCUCUGUAAGUUUGCGGUGAAAGCCCGGGGCUCAACCCCGGGUCUGCCGUGGAUACUGCAAGGCUUGAGUACUGUAGAGGCAGGUAGAAUAUCGGGUGUAGCGGUGGAAUGCGUAGAGAUCCGAUAGAAGACCGGUGGCGAAGGCGGCCUGCUGGGCAGUAACUGACGCUGAGACGCGAAAGCGUGGGGAGCGAACCGG
rnacentral:rRNA from 1 species